rnacentral:rRNA from 1 species
CAAUAGCGUAUAUUAAAGUUGUUGCGGUUAAAAAGCUCGUAGUUGGAUUUCUGCUGAGAACGACCGGUCCGCCCUCUGGGUGUGUAUCUGGCUCUUUCUUGGCAUCUUCUUGGUGAACGUUGCUGCACUUGACUGUGUGGAGCGCUACCCAGGACUUUUACUUUGAGGAAAUUAGAGUGUUUCAAGCAGGCAUACGCCUUGAAUACAUUAGCAUGGAAUAAUAAGAUAGGACCUCGGUUCUAUUUUGUUGGUUUCUAGAGCUGAGGUAAUGAUUAAUAGGGAUAGUUGGGGGCAUUCGUAUUUAACUGUCAGAGGUGAAAUUCUUGGAUUUGUUAAAGACGGGCUACUGCGAAAGCAUUUGCCAAGGAUGUUUNCAUUG